GGAGGGUGCAAGCGUUGUCCGGAUUUAUUGGGUUUAAAGGGUACGUAGGCGGGCUGCUAAGUCUGAGGUGAAAGCUCUCGGCUCAACCGGGAAAUUGCCUUGGAUACUGGCAGUCUUGAGUACAGUAGAGGUGGGCGGAAUUCAUGGUGUAGCGGUGAAAUGCAUAGAUACCAUGAGGAACACCGAUAGGGAAGCCAGCUCACUGGACUGUCACUGACGCUGAGGUACGAAAGCGUGGGGAGCGAACAGGAUUAGAUACCCUGGUAGUCCACGCUGUAAACGAUGCUCACUCGAUGUAUGCGAUAGACUGUAUGCGUCCUAGCGAAAGCAAUAAGUGAGCCACCUGGGGAGUACGUUGGCAACAAUG
rnacentral:rRNA from 1 species